rnacentral:lncRNA from 1 species
GGAUGCACGUCGGGAACACUAGCGGGAGGGUUGGCCGGGCGCAGAAGUGAUAUGGAGAGGGGGGCGACAUCCACAGCUCUAGCACGGAGAGCCCUGAUGACGGAUGUAUCGGUGGAGUGGGAGGGGGCCGGGAUUUUGCAGGAGCGGCGGGGCCCAGGAAGGGGAAGGGUUGCCGAAACAAUCGCCGUAUGUUCGAAUCAACGUUCCCAGGCGCAACCAGUAGGUAAGGUGGAUCCGGCGGCGAUGGGUGUGGCGUGGAUGUCAUGUUUGAAGUGACGACAGGCUUGGGCGGGGGGAUUAUCAU